UUCCUACGGGGGGCAGCAGUGAGGAAUAUUGGUCAAUGGGAGAGAUCCUGAACCAGCCAAGCCGCGUGAGGGAAGACGGCCCUAUGGGUUGUAAACCUCUUUUGUCGGAGAACAAAACCCGGGACGUGUCCCGGACUGCGUGUAUCCGAAGAAAAAGCAUCGGCUAACUCCGUGCCAGCAGCCGCGGUAAUACGGAGGAUGCGAGCGUUAUCCGGAUUUAUUGGGUGUAAAGGGAGCGUAGACGGCAGCGCAAGUCUGGAGUGAAAUGCAGGGGCCCAACCCCGGAACUGCUCUGGAACCUGUGA
rnacentral:rRNA from 1 species